CCAGACUCCUACGGGAGGCAGCAGUGAGGAAUAUUGGUCAAUGGGCGCAAGCCUGAACCAGCCAAGUAGCGUGCAGGACGACGGCCCUAUGGGUUGUAAACUGCUUUUGUACGGGGAUAAAACGGCGGACGCGUCCGUCCUUGCAGGUACCGUACGAAUAAGGACCGGCUAAUUCCGUGCCAGCAGCCGCGGUAAUACGGAAGGUCCGGGCGUUAUCCGGAUUUAUUGGGUUUAAAGGGAGCGUAGGCCGGGGAUUAAGUGUGUUGUGAAAUGUAGACGCUCAACGUCUGACUUGCAGCGCAUACUGGUUCCCUUGAGUACGCACAACGUCGGCGGAAUUCGUCGUGUAGCGGUGAAAUGCUUAGAUAUGACGAAGAACUCCGAUUGCGAAGGCAGCUGACGGGAGCGCAACUGACGCUUAAGCUCGAAGGUGCGGGUAUCGAACAGGAUUAGAUACCCUGGUAGUCCGCACGGUAAACGAUGGAUGCCCGCUGUUGGUACCUGGUAUCAGCGGCUAAGCGAAAGCAUUAAGCAUCCCACCUGGGGAGUACGCCGGCAACGGUGAAACUCAAAGGAAUUGACGGGGGCCCGCACAAG
rnacentral:rRNA from 1 species